AAAAAGAAAUUCCUAAAAGACAAUAUGAUAUGGAUCCUGCAAUGGAGGACAAGAUUUGUGAUCUCUAUGACCUUUUUGUUGAUGGUCUUGAUGAGGACACCGGUCCACAAGUCAGAAAAUUAUAUGCUGAGCUUGCAGAGCUGUGGCCAAAUGGUUUUAUGGACAACCAUGGUAUUAAGCCGGCAAUUUUUAGGG